rnacentral:rRNA from 1 species
GACGAACGCUGGCGGCGUGCUUAACACAUGCAAGUCGAGCGGAAAGGCCCUUCGGGGUACUCGAGUGGCGGACGGGUGAGUAACACGUGGGUAACCUGCCCAAAAGAAGGGGAUAACAUUUGGAAACAAGUGCUAAUACCGUAUAACCAUGAUGACCGCAUGGUCAUGAUGUAAAAGGUGGUUUUGCUAUCGCUUUUGGAUGGACCCGCGGCGUAUUAACUAGUUGGUAAGGUAACGGCUUACCAAGGUGAUGAUACGUAGCCGAACUGAGAGGUUGAUCGGCCACAAUGGGACUGAGACACGGCCCAUACUCCUACGGGAGGCAGCAGUAGGGAAUCUUCCACAAUGGGCGCAAGCCUGAUGGAGCAACGCCGCGUGAAUGAAGAAGGUCUUCGGAUCGUAAAGUUCUGUUAUUAGAGAAGAACACGUGUAAGAGUAACUGAUUAUGCGUUGACGGUAUCUAAUCAGCAAGUCACGGCUAACUACGUGCCAGCCGCCGCCGUA